UUUGUACUCCCUCCGUCCCAAAAUUCUUGUCUUAAAUUUGUCUAAAUACGGAUGUAUCUAGUUACAUUUUAGUGUUAGAUACAUCCGUACCUAAACAAAUGUAAGACAAGAAUUUUGAGACGGAGGGAAUACUAC
rnacentral:pre_miRNA from 1 species